rnacentral:rRNA from 1 species
CAGCCGCCGCGGGAAUGCGGAGGGGGCUAGCGUUGUUCGGAAUUACUGGGCGUAAAGCGCACGUAGGCGGCUUUGUAAGUUAGAGGUGAAAGCCUGGGGCUCAACUCCAGAAUUGCCUUUAAGACUGCAUCGCUUGAACGUCGGAGAGGUGAGUGGAAUUCCGAGUGUAGAGGUGAAAUUCGUAGAUAUUCGGAAGAACACCAGUGGCGAAGGCGGCUCACUGGACGACUGUUGACGCUGAGGUGCGAAAGCGUGGGGAGCAAACAGGAUUAGAGACCCGAGUAGUCCCUGUCUCUUAUAA